rnacentral:rRNA from 1 species
UCAGGACGAACGCUGGCGGCGUGCCUAAUACAUGCAAGUCGAGCGGACAGAUGGGAGCUUGCUCCCUGAUGUUAGCGGCGGACGGGUGAGUAACACGUGGGUAACCUGCCUGUAAGACUGGGAUAACUCCGGGAAACCGGGGCUAAUACCGGAUGGUUGUUUGAACCGCAUGGUUCAGACAUAAAAGGUGGCUUCGGCUACCACUUACAGAUGGACCCGCGGCGCAUUAGCUAGUUGGUGAGGUAACGGCUCACCAAGGCGACGAUGCGUAGCCGACCUGAGAGGGUGAUCGGCCACACUGGGACUGAGACACGGCCCCAGACUCCUACGGGAGGCAGCAGUAGGGAAUCUUCCGCAAUGGACGAAAGUCUGACGGAGCAACGCCGCGUGAGUGAUGAAGGUUUUCGGAUCGUAAAGCUCUGUUGUUAGGGAAGAACAAGUGCCGUUCAAAUAGGGCGGCACCUUGACGGUACCUAACCAGAAAGCCACGGCUAACUACGUGCCAGCAGCCGCGGUAAUACGUAGGUGGCAAGCGUUGUCCGGAAUUAUUGGGCGUAAAGGGCUCGCAGGCGGUUUCUUAAGUCUGAUGUGAAAGCCCCCGGCUCAACCGGGGAGGGUCAUUGGAAACUGGGGAACUUGAGUGCAGAAGAGGAGAGUGGAAUUCCACGUGUAGCGGUGAAAUGCGUAGAGAUGUGGAGGAACACCAGUGGCGAAGGCGACUCUCUGGUCUGUAACUGACGCUGAGGAGCGAAAGCGUGGGGAGCGAACAGGAUUAGAUACCCUGGUAGUCCACGCCGUAAACGAUGAGUGCUAAGUGUUAGGGGGUUUCCGCCCCUUAGUGCUGCAGCUAACGCAUUAAGCACUCCGCCUGGGGAGUACGGUCGCAAGACUGAAACUCAAAGGAAUUGACGGGGGCCCGCACAAGCGGUGGAGCAUGUGGUUUAAUUCGAAGCAACGCGAAGAACCUUACCAGGUCUUGACAUCCUCUGACAAUCCUAGAGAUAGGACGUCCCCUUCGGGGGCAGAGUGACAGGUGGUGCAUGGUUGUCGUCAGCUCGUGUCGUGAGAUGUUGGGUUAAGUCCCGCAACGAGCGCAACCCUUGAUCUUAGUUGCCAGCAUUCAGUUGGGCACUCUAAGGUGACUGCCGGUGACAAACCGGAGGAAGGUGGGGAUGACGUCAAAUCAUCAUGCCCCUUAUGACCUGGGCUACACACGUGCUACAAUGGACAGAACAAAGGGCAGCGAAACCGCGAGGUUAAGCCAAUCCCACAAAUCUGUUCUCAGUUCGGAUCGCAGUCUGCAACUCGACUGCGUGAAGCUGGAAUCGCUAGUAAUCGCGGAUCAGCAUGCCGCGGUGAAUACGUUCCCGGGCCUUGUACACACCGCCCGUCACACCACGAGAGUUUGUAACACCCGAAGUCGGUGAGGUAACCUUUUAGGAGCCAGCCGCCGAAGGUGGGACAGAUGAUUGGGGUGAAGUC